UACAGAGGUGGCAAGCGUUGUUCGGAAUUACUGGGCGUAAAGGGCUCGUAGGUGGCCCCAUAAGUCAGACGUGAAAUCCCUCGGCUCAACCGAGGAACUGCGUCUGAGACUGCGGGGCUUGAAUCCGGGAGAGGGAUGCGGAAUUCCAGGUGUAGCGGUGAAAUGCGUAGAUAUCUGGAGGAACACCGGUGGCGAAGGCGACUACCUGGCCUGUUCUUGACGCUGAGGCGCGAAAGCUAGGGGAGCAAACGGG
rnacentral:rRNA from 1 species